UACGUAGGGUGCGAGCGUUAAUCGGAAUUACUGGGCGUAAAGCGUGCGCAGGCGGUUAUGCAAGACAGAUGGGAAAUCCCCGGGCUCAACCUGGGAACUGCAUUUGUGACUGCAUGGCUGGAGUGCGGCAGAGGGGGAUGGAAUUCCGCGUGUAGCAGUGAAAUGCGUAGAUAUCUGGAGGAAUACCGGUGGCGAAGGCGGCAUCCUGGACCGGCAUUGACGCUGAUGAGCGAAAGCCAGGGGAGCAAACGGG
rnacentral:rRNA from 1 species